UCCAAUAGUGCUAGGUGAUUGUUGGGUAAGGAUAAUGUGAGUCUGCAAGGUCACCAUUGGAAGGCAAUAUCAUAUGAACCAGCAGAGCUCACCAUUGGAAAGCAGGAUCAUGUGAGCCAGCAUAGCUGAAAAGAGAUGGAGGGAUUUUCAAGGAGAGACAAGGAUGGAUAGAACCCUGGAUGGAGGAGUCAAUUUGAGUGUUUCUGAGCCUCUUCCACUGAGCUGUGUUGGCAAGUUUACUGUGGCUGAAGAUCAAAGAGCUGAACAGAAAAUCAAUAAACAUAAAAAAGCAGCAGCACAUGUGGAAGUAGAAUCAGAGAUCCAUCAGAGAAGGCUUAAUGGCCGAGAAAAGAAACAGCCACAUGUGUGUAAUUAUAUAAAUAUUAAUUGGUGGUUUCAUAGUGGUUACUAUGCUUUAGUAAUGUAGAGUAGUUCAAAUGCAAUUGCCUUUCAGAAUUGAUUUAUAAAUCUAUGCAUCAUAGAUUAAUUUUUAAUUUAAAACAUUAUAAAUGGUUAUGUAUCUUAAAUGUGUUUAUUUUCCAUAGUAAAAUGGCAAAAUAUUUAUCCUUUGAAGUGAGGCCACUUUAAGAUUAUUGAAUGUGCUCCCAUUUGUAUAAUAUCUGUAAAUGAUAAAGGAAAAAUUUGGGUCUUAUGAAUACACAAUUGAAAUUAGGAA